rnacentral:sRNA from 1 species
CCAACGGCAACGGCCCGUAGGUUGAGGAGCGAAGCGACGAAUAAUCCUUCCCCCACCACCA